UAGGAAACAACGUACCCUUUGCAGCUGGGUUUGGGACAGUUCUGGAAAGAAUCUCACUGAGGCUUGCAGAUUAAACAAAAUACCCAAGAUCCUCAGAAAGCUAUGCCAUGCAGCCAUUAACAAGGAGCAGAUCUAUAUGUUUGUCUCUGCUGGAAGUGAUCUCCAGGAUGCGUUUUAAGUGGAAGAAGAAAGAUGCAGAGCAGUGUGCCCAGUCUGUAAUGCGUGUCAGUGGGAAGAGCUACAGUUUGUCAGACAGGAAAUGGCAAAACUAUGUGUAUUGAGCACCUUAGAAAUCUAACAUCCUCCCUUGAGUGCCGGGAACAGACCACAAGCUGAUGCCAUACCGAUGUUUCUUUUUAAUCUUUUACCUGCUACUAAGGACCGCGCCAGCUGAGAGUCAGCCUUCUCCAAAAUGGAACAACCAAACCGUGUCACCGGGCUGGGCAUAUUUAGUGAGUCAACUGGUACCAAAUGCUGAACAACGUGUUCUUAGAAAAGCAUCUACUUACUGAGAUGGGAAAACUCGGAGGCACGUAUGCUCCUUAAUGUGGUAAUCCCACCCCAUCCUGACCUGAGACAGUGCUGAGCCGGAAGAGGGAGACCUGGGUAUCAGGUGACUGCUGUUUGGCUAGAAUGGAAAACAGGGGGCCUUUCUCUCUCCCUCUUUUGUCCUUUUGCUGCCCAGUAAAGGUGGCUUGAGGGAACAGGAGGACCUUGGGUUUUGUUGAUUAGUUCUAACAAAAAGAUAUAUUCUGGCCAGGUGUGGUGGCACACACCUGUCAUCCCAGCACUCAGGGAGGCUGAGGCAGGA
rnacentral:lncRNA from 1 species